GUGGGGACCAGGGGGAGGCAGGAGGUCAGCCAGGGCCACGUUAGAGCUUGGGGUGAGGAACAUUUGGUGAGACAGUCAGAGAGGAUGGGGCUGGAGGCGGGCAUGCUGGGGCCUUCAAUGCCAGGCUGAGAAGGCUGGUUUGUGAGAAUUGGGAGCUUAUGCUAGGCUCCUGAGCAAGGACAGUGACAGGUGAAAAUGGCUUUGGGGAAGAGGAGCAAGUGGGUAUGGCAAACAUAGGGCAAGAUAAGGACUGCUGGGACCUCUGUCUGCCCCUGUGAGUACAGAGAAUGAAUCAGUGGCUUGGACUCACUGGGUUCAGACCAAGGAAAAAGGGAAGUGAGGCAGACACCCACAGACACUGGGCUAGACCCUUGCCUAUGCUAACUCUCACUCAGUCCUGGAAGCAGGCCUAUAAGGCAUCUUGGUAUAGCAACCUGGAAAUGGCAGCCUGGUGAGGAUGAGUCAUCGCAGGCUCACACAGUGGAGCGGAGGUCCCACCCGGCCAUCCUGAUGCCAACACACGUUCUCCCCAGUGAGCAGCUCGGCCUUCCAGGGCUCAAGAGGCCAGGGGUGAUGUCUGGAGGGGCAAGAAAUAGCCACACACUUUCCUAACCCCUCUUUCCUGCACUUAGAGCUCACAACAAUGGCCAAUGCAACUAGCCACCCAGACCUCUCUCUCUCCAGGCCUGAGGCCUGGUGGAGAGGGCCUGUGGGCAGCUGUAGGGAGGGUCUUGCCCUGUAAGACAUGGAGGCAGCAGGCCCAGGCCGUACUCCUGGGCUUCCCAUCCCUGGUUGUGCCAAGGAGGGGUGUGGUGGUGCCAGGGGAGGGAAGGGGGCCCUGGUGAGUGGGGAGCAUGUCCCUGCAGGAAGCCAAGAGUCUCGGAGGAGGACCAAGAAUGGCUGGGCCUCAGCCCAGCCCCUAAUCCCUCUGCACACACUCCCUUCCCCAAGGAUUUUGCCUUGGAAAAAUGUGUUUAAUUUUCUCAGCUCAGAGACAAUGAAUGGAGGAUUUGGGGUGGGGUGAGGAUGGGUGAUGGAGGAGGCCCAUGGAGUUUGCCAUGGGAAAAGACGAGCAAAUGGCAAAACCAGUUUCUGACAUGCCCCCUCCUCAGAAAGAAGCUGGAAGCUCAAGCCUGACUAUAGGACCAGCACAGCCCCUGGCCAGCCGCAUGCUGCAGAGGCUCUGGCUGACUGUCUCUGCUCGCCUGUUCUGUUGUUUGCAUGUUCUCAGAAUAGGAGACCCCUAAAGACAGAAACUGCAUGUGUCCUGCACAGGAAAUCUUGUAUUGGUGAGUGUAAUUACUGUGGUGGGGUGGACAGUGACAGAGGUGGUCAUAGUGGUGGAGGCCACGGUGGGCGUGAUGACGGUGACAGUGUAGUGGUGACGGGGGUGGUCACAGUCAUGGAAAACCCUGAAACCAUGAUGAGCACGGGGAGAGGGGGCAGAGGUUGAGAGGUGGGCUUCGUAACUUGACAAACCUGGGUGUCCAUCCCAGGCCUAUCUCUCUCUAGCAGUCACCUGGGCAAGUCAGCCUCUCUGAGUCUCACUUUCCUCAUCGGAAAAAUGGGCUUCACAGGAGCUAUUGGUGCAGUGUAGGGAUCUGAACACUGCUACCCAGGGUGGGCACUGACUCCCUCAGAUUUUUUCAUUUCAUGGGGUUCUUUAGCCCCUCUGUCUGCCCAAGAGCCUUCCCUUCUGCCCACAAACUUCCUCCAGUUGUUCCCACUAGCUCUUCCCUGAAUCACCACCUCAAUUCCUUCCUUCCUUCAGAGCCCCACACAUUCUAAAAAAGAAGUCUACACACACUGCCUCUAUUUCCUGACCUCCCACUUGUUCCUAGUCCCUCUCAGCAGCCUUCUGGUUCCAAACCCUAUGGAAACUGCGCUCACCAAGUCAGCAGAGGCCUCCUCCUCUCAGCCUCAACUUCUUGGGGGAAAUUGGUUCUAGGGCCAGCAAGACUUCCAAAGAGCCUCUUCCCAGCAGGUUCAACCUCCCAUCGUCUGGAAGUCUUUCUGCUCCCCGAGGAACCCCCCCACCAAGCCCUCUGCCCCUGAAGGUUGGUGCU
rnacentral:lncRNA from 1 species